rnacentral:rRNA from 1 species
GAUGAACGCUGGCGGCGUGCUUAAUACAUGCAAGUCGAGCGGAAAGGCGCUGCUUUUGCGUGGUUCAUGUGAGGCGCAGGCGUGUGAAUCACGCGUGUAUCCCGCCCCUGUCAUUGGGAUAUAUCUUGGAAACUGCGGCUAUUACCGCAGAGGAUCUUUUGCAGCAUGGUGGUCGUCGGAAAGAUUCGGCGGUGCGGGAUGGACUAGCUGCUUAUCAGCUUGUUUGUGGGGUAGUGGCUUACCAAGCCUAUGACGGGUAGCCGGCCUGAGAGGGUGACCAGCCACAUUGGGACUGCGAGACGGCCCAGACUCCUACGGGAGGCAGCAGUGGAGAAUAUUGCACAAUGGGCGGAAGCCUGAUGCAGCAACGCCGCGUGCGGGAUGACGGCCUUCGGGUUGUAAACCGCUUUCGCCUGUGACGAAGCGUGAGUGACGGUAAUGGGUAAAGAAGCACCGGCUAACUACGUG